rnacentral:lncRNA from 1 species
CGUUACAAAAUGAUCGGGGAAGAAAACUCACGGCAGCAACGCCUCCCCCAACGAUCACAUACUUGAACGACUUCUCGGCCAUUGAAUCUGUUCAAAAAUCUGUCGUCUGAGUCACGAUAAUGCAGAUUGCAAUAUCUUUUGAGCUUAUUUUUGAGUAAGAAUAAUGUUAUUUGCAAUCCGUCAUCAUACCUGGCAUACGCAUGAUAUGAUAAGUGAUUAUUUGAUGCAUUAAUGAAUAAAAAAAUUAUAAUAUUAAUGCAUUAAAUAAUCACAUAUCAUGGGUAUGUCGAAUAGUACGAUUAACAAAGUGAACGAUUA